CCGUAGCUCAGCUGGAUAGAGCACCGGCCUUCUAAGCCGACGGUCGCUGGUUCGAAUCCAGCCG
rnacentral:tRNA from 1 species